rnacentral:rRNA from 1 species
CCUACGGGGGGCAGCAGUGAGGAAUAUUGGUCAAUGGACGAGAGUCUGAACCAGCCAAGUAGCGUGAAGGAUGACUGCCCUAUGGGUUGUAAACUUCUUUUAUAUGGGAAUAAAACGUUCCACGUGUGGGAUUUUGUAUGUACCAUAUGAAUAAGGAUUGGCUAACUCCGUGCCAGCAGCCGCGGUAAUACGGAGGAUCCGAGCGUUAUCCGGAUUUAUUGGGUUUAAAGGGAGCGUAGGUGGAUUGUUAAGUCAGUUGUGAAAGUUUGCGGCUCAACCGUAAAAUUGCAGUUGAAACUGGCAGUCUUGAGUACAGUAGAGGUGGGCGGAAUUCGUGGUGUAGCGGUGAAAUGCUUAGAUAUCACGAAGAACUCCGAUUGCGAAGGCAGUUCACUGGACUGCAACUGACACUGAGGCUCGAAAGUGUGGGUAUCAAACAGGAUUAGAUACCCCAGUAGUC